rnacentral:rRNA from 1 species
AUUGAACGCUGGCGGCAGGCCUAACACAUGCAAGUAGAGCGAGCGGCGGACGGGUGAGUAAUGUAAGGGGGCUGCCAGAUGGAGUGGGAAAAAUACUGGAAACGGUAGCAGAUACCGCAUACUAUCGGAUAAACCAUAUGGGAAUAGCUAGUAGGUGAGGUAAUGGCGCACUUAGGCGACGAUCCCUAGCUGGUCUGAGAGGAUGAGCAGCCACACGGGGACUGAGACACGGCCCAGAAUCCUACGGAGGCAGCAGGGGGGAAUAUUGCACAAUGGGCGCAAGCCUGAUGCAGCCAUGCCGCGUGUAUGAAGAAGGCCCUAGGGUUGUAAAGUACUUUCAGUCGGGAGGCGUUACCGACAGAAGAAGCACCGGCUAACUCCGUGCCAGCAGCCGCGGUAAUUC